AUGACUGUUGCUUUCCAAUUAGCUGUUUUUGCAUCAAUUGCGACUUCCCUUGUAUUUGCUUCUCCUGAUGGUUGGUCAAAUAAUAAAAAUGUUGUAUUUUCCGGUACAUCAUUAUGAAUUGGACUAGUGACUAUUUUGAAUUCUCUCAUUUCAUAA
rnacentral:rRNA from 1 species